rnacentral:sRNA from 1 species
GCGGAGGAAAAGAAACCAACAGGGAUUGCCUCAGUAACGGCGAGUGAAGCGGCAACAGCUCAAAUUUGAAAUCUGGCUCCUUCGGGGCCCGAGUUGUAAUUUGCAGAGGAUGCGUCGGGUACGGGUGCCUUCCGAGUUCCCUGGAACGGGACGCCAUAGAGGGUGAGAGCCCCGUCUGGUAGGACACCCAGCCCGUGUGACGCUCCCUCGACGAGUCGAGUAGUUUGGGAAUGCUGCUCUAACGGGAGGUAUACUCCUUCCAAGGCUAAAUACCGGCUGGAGACCGAUAGCGCACAAGUAGAGUGAUCGAAAGAUGAAAAGCACUUUGAAAAGAGAGUCAAACAGCACGUGAAAUUGUUAAAAGGGAAGCGCUCGCUACCAGACUUGGGUUCGGCGGUUCAACCGGGGCCACGCCCCGGGGCAUUCCGCCGGCCCAGGCCAGCAUCAGCUUUCCGUCGGGGGUAAAGGCGUCGGGAAUGUGGCUCCCCUUCGGGGGAGUGUUAUAGCCCGUCGUGUCAUACCCUUCGGGGGGCUGAGGUACGCGCUUCUGCAAGGAUGCUGGCGUAAUGGUAGCUAGUGACCCGUCUUGAAACACGGACCAAGGAGUCAACCUUAUGUGCGAGUGCCCGGGCGUAAAACCCCAGCGCGGAAUGAAAGUGAACGUAGGUGAGAGCUUCGGCGCAUCACCGACCGAUCCUGAUGUCCUCGGACGGAUUUGAGUGAGAGCAUAUAGGGUUGGACCCGAAAGAAGAUGAACUAUGCGUGUGUAGGGUGAAGCCAGAGGAAACUCUGGUGGAGGCUCGCAGCGGUUCUGACGUGCAAAUCGA